ACGCUUGAAGUCAGUCGCGUCGUCCAGGGAUCAACCUUGCUUUUGCUUGGUGCACUUUCUGGUCUGACGGGUCAGCAUCAAUUUCGACUAUUGGAAAAAGAUCAAGGGAAUGUGGCAUCUCUGGAUGUGUUAUAGCCCUUGGUCGCAUACAAUGGUUUGGGAUUGAGGAACUCAGCAUGCCGCAAGGCCGGGUGUCAAAACCACGUACGUGCUUAGGAUGCUGACAUAUAUAAUGGCUUUAAUCGACCCGUCUUGAAACACGGACCAAGGAGUC
rnacentral:rRNA from 1 species